UGUGCAAUUGCUGGAUUAUAUGGUAAGACUAUGUUUAGUUUUGUAAGAAAUUGCCAAACUGUCUUCUAAAGUGGCUGUACCAUUUUGUAUUCCCACCAGCAAU
rnacentral:pre_miRNA from 1 species